rnacentral:sRNA from 1 species
UAGUCGAUGAAAUAAUUUGGCCAAUGC